CAAAAUUUGUUUUUGGAAUAAAAGUUGUUUGGCUCAAAGUUACUUUUAUAAGGUGUAAAUUUUUUUUUUGAAUGAUUUGGGAUAAAUUUAUUGCUUGCCUUUUUUCUCCUUGAAGGAGGUAAGGAAGGUAAGCCAUAUUGUUCACAAAAAUUUCCUAGUUCAUAUUUAGCUGUUUUCUUAUCUGAUUUCAUUUGAGCAUUUAGUUUCAUAUCUAUACACAUUUUUAAUCAUUCUUUUUGGAUAACUGUAAUUAUAUUUCCAUAAGUUAAAUAAUCGUAAUGAAUGUGACUUGUUUCAUUACUAAGGACUUGCCUGAUUUUAUGAGUAAAUAAUUUUGGAAGACCAUUUAUGAAUUUUUUUUCCAAAAUAAUUGGUUACUAUCGUCUUUGAGCAAAACUCGAGAAAUAAAAACAUCUUUGUACCAUUUGAAAUCACUUAAGGUAGGUCACUUAAGGUUAUUGAGUUGGUUAUGAAUUCUCACUACCAGGACAAGCACUUUAGCCGACGAAAAAUUUUCUUCGGCCUGUUAGCUUAAUUCGUCGGUUAAGAUCUUAGCCGACGAGCCAUCGUCGGCUAAGAUUUCGUCGGGAAAAGGUCGUUUGUGAUGACUUUAGCCGACGAAAAAAAAAUUUCGUCGGCUAUAGUCCCGCAGUUUAGCCGACGAAAAACAUGUCGUCGGUUUUUUUCCCAGACUUUAGCCGACGAAACAAUUAAGAUAUUCGUCGGCUAAAGUCUGUAAUAAAAAAAUUUUUCCCAGACUAUAGCCGACGAAAUAUAGUAUGUUUCAUCGGCUAAACCUUAUAAAAAAAUUUAAAAAAAUAACUAUAGCCGACGAAAUAUAGUCUGUUUCGUCGGCUAAACCUUAUAAAAAAUUUAAAAAAAUAACUAUAGCCGACGAAAUAUAGUUUGUUUCGUCGGCUAAACCUUAUAAAAAAA
rnacentral:lncRNA from 1 species